rnacentral:rRNA from 1 species
UAGGGGAUCUUGCGCAAUGGGCGAAAGCCUGACGCAGCCAUGCCGCGUGAAUGAUGAAGGUCUUAGGAUUGUAAAAUUCUUUCACCGGGGAAGAUAAUGACGGUACCCGGAGAAGAAGCCCCGGCUAACUUCGUGCCAGCAGCCGCGGUAAUACGAAGGGGGCUAGCGUUGCUCGGAAUUACUGGGCGUAAAGGGCGCGUAGGCGGAUAUCUAAGUUGGGGGUGAAAGCCCGGGGCUCAACCUCGGAAUAGCCUUCAAUACUGGAUAUCUUGAGUUCGGGAGAGGUGAGUGGAAUGCCGAGUGUAGAGGUGAAAUUCGUAGAUAUUCGGCGGAACACCAGUGGCGAAGGCGACUCACUGGCCCGAUACUGACGCUGAGGCGCGAAAGCGUGGGGAGCAAACAGGAUUAGAUACCCUGGUAGUCCACGCCGUAAAACGAUGAGUGCUAGUUGUCGGCAUGCAUGCAUGUCGGUGACGCAGCUAACGCAUUAAGCACUCCGCCUGGGGAGUACGGUCGCAAGAUUAAAACUCAAAGGAAUUGACGGGGUCAUAGCUGUUUCCUG